CCUUGCCCAGCGGGAGACACAAUCUUUAUGGGCACAGUAAGGUUCUGUGCAGUGGAGACCACCACUGGCUCUAGCCAGGAACAUGGAGGACAAUGGAGGGAGGACCACGCUGCACUCUGACGGAGCCUGACAGCUGAGGCCCAAGAUGAAUGACAGGGAAAGACAUCAUGACAAGUCAGACACACGGGUGACAGGGCGGGCCAUCACUGAGGCUGCUCAGGAAGUGGAGCCACCCAGACAGGACAGGGAGACUCCUGCUUCCUUCUGCCUCUAGCUCCAGGACUCGGCAAUCCCAGCACUUGAACCCAGGCAGUGGGGAACCGCCACCACAGCCAAAAGCCACCCGGCACCAGCAAGAGGCUCUUCGUGCAGACAGCCCACAGGGACACUGACUGCUGGUUCUCCCAGGGUCUCGGAAGAUCUCAACCCAUGUUUCCCCCCAUGGUCUGGAUGACCGGCUACGACCAGCUUUGCCUCCUGCUCAGUUUCUGGGCCGAGAACCGGAGGAUCUGGGGGAUCUCUUCACUUUCCUACGGCUCUCUCCGGCAGAGCUCAGCGCCCUGCCAGGGAUGGGGCUGGGCCUGGCUGGGAACCCACCUUGGGUGUCAGCCUUAGCCAGAGCUGGCCAGCCGUCUGCUCACACUGUCCCGGUUUAUAAGGGAACGCGGCACACAUGAUUCUCUGGCCAGCAUCCGACUUGCCCCGUCCAGCACGGAUGGCCAGAUCUGCAGCUCCUCCGUGCACUUGCUCUAGAAAGGGGCACCGGCUAGCCCAGGAGACCAGGACUUAGCUGAAAACCUCUCCAGAGAGGCCACCCAUGCCUACUGGGGAAGCCUACCCUGUGAAGGACUUCUGCUCACCCUCAUCUGGUAUGACCACACCUUUCUUAGUCUCCCUGCCUGUGGACUAGUCCUGACCUCCAGUACUGGCCCUAGACUGGCCAUGUGUCUCUGUGAGUGUCUCUGUCCCAUCUGCCUUCCUGCUGCGUACAGGAACAGGCCACCAUCUCAGAACUGAAGUACAGCCCGGAGCACAGUAAAGGCCAACAAACA